rnacentral:lncRNA from 1 species
AUGGACAAGCCGGCUGUGGGGCCCUGGGCAAGGAACACGCCAAGAAGCUGCGCCCAGGGAGAUUUUGCUGCCUGUGCUGAUACCAGGACACGUCCUGCGUUCCUUAUGCCAGCGACUAAGCCUCACCGCGGCUGUAGUGCUUUCACCCCACCAGAGGCUCUGUGCGCUCUCCGGCUGAUGCGGCCGGGCCGGGCCCGGGGCCGGGUGCCCGAGGCCGCGGCGGGGCCGGGCGGGGCGGGGAGGCCCCGCAGCCGGUUCCCUUUUUGCCCGGCGUGUGAUUGGCGGCGGCUUCGGAGCUGCCUCUGCCGCCGGCUAUGGAGCCUCCCCGCCGGCCCCGCCGCUUUUCCUCAGCUUCCUACUGAGGGAAACACCUGUCCGGAGCCGGGGCCGGGGCCGCUGCUGCGAGUCAACAUUUUUGCAUGAUAUCUACUACCAGUGUAGGAUUUGUACUGCUUGAUGCUCUUCAAAAGGAAAAGCAUUCUGACUUCUUUUAAAAUGAGCAAUCAUAUGUAUAAUCAACUUGGUUAAAACUUCCUUCCUGGUAAGUGCAGCACUUCCUUUGCAUCUGGAUAUGAGAGCGAGCAAGAAAAGCAGAACAGCUUAAACAAAGAAAUUUUUUGUGUGAAUGAUCUUUUAAAAUAAUAGGAACUACAAAAUUUAAACAAAUGAGUCAUCUUCAGCAAUUCAGCCUUUGUUUUAUAAGCAGGUAAUAUUUCCUUAUACUUUGUCAAUUAUAGGGGUGGUGUGUCCACAGUUGCUGCUUUCUGGAAGUCAAAAGAAGAAUUUUAGUUAGCAUUCUAUGUUGUUAGAGUUUAAUAUUUUAUAUUUUUAUCUGCUUCUUUUAUUAUCUCCUAAGGCAUCAUUACACUGGCUUUACUUUUCUCCAGCAGUUAAAGAUUUUAUGUGUAGAAAGUGUUGCUUGGAAAAGUUCAGUAUGUUGCUGUAACUUGGCUUGUGUGAGCGCACUCAGUCAGCACUGAAUAAUUUCCGUUUUAAUAUUGGUCAAUGGAGAUUAACUGAGUGUGCUGGUUUUGCAUUAUACGAUAUUUUUUGUUUACUGAAUGCUGAUAAGGUAGGCUACUCAUGUUUAAUAUUGUUUUACUGGUGUUUUAGGUGUGAUUUGAUGUAUAGAGUAAUAAAUCAGCAUCAGCUUGGGUGAUUUUUCUUCUA